rnacentral:tRNA from 1 species
GCGUGUUUGGCCGAGUGGUUAAGGCGCUGGAUUCAAGUGUACGGUACACUUUGCUUCGAUGAACGAGGUUGAAAUUCCCAGUCACGGAAGUGGCGCAGGUUCGAAUCCUGCAGCACGCA